UCCGUAGGUGAACCUGCGGAAGGAUCAUUAGUGAUUUGACCUCCGGGUCUAAUAUUACAAUCCACAUACCUCUGUGAACCGUUUGACCUUCGGGUCUACAUACAAACAUCAGUGUAAUGAACGUCAAAUUAUAUAACAUAAUAAAACUUUUAACAACGGAUCUCUUGGCUCUCGCAUCGAUGAAGAACGCAGCGAAAUGCGAUAAGUAAUGUGAAUUGCAGAAUUCAGUGAAUCAUCGAAUCUUUGAACGCACCUUGCACCUUUUGGUAUUCCGAAAGGUAUGCCUGUUUGAGUGUCAUGAAAUCUCAAUCCCCUCGGGUUUACGACCUGAUUGGACUUGGACUUGGGCGUCUGCCAUCCGUGGCUCGCCUUAAAUGGAUUAGUGGGAAUAGCACUUAGCAAUUAGACGUAAUAAGUUUCGUCUGGUUCGUGUGUGACGCCUGCUCAUAACAACCAAUUUACUUCAUGUCUCUGACCUCAAAUCAGGUAGGGCUACCCGCUGAACUUAAGCUAUCAAUAAGCGGAGGAAGUCGACUGCCAAGGGCACACAGGGGGGGGGGAUA
rnacentral:rRNA from 1 species